rnacentral:lncRNA from 1 species
CUAAAAAAAAGAUGUUUUCCCCCUGAUUUUUAGGAAAUUUUGGUAGAUUCUUUUGUACCCUAAUUCUUAUUUCGCUUACUCAUACACUCCUUCUUUUCAUUAUACAGACACUAGCAGAAAUAUUUGAUAUAGAUCUGAAUACACUGAAAUAGUUAAACACACAAACAUAUUUCCUGGAAUCAUACUGAUUUAACACUAUUUUUGGAGUCUCUUUCUUUCACUUUUAGCAAGGAACUCCUACUGGUUCUUAUACUAUUUUUCUGGGAUUUCUGGGUUUUAAUUUGAAGCUGUUUUGGUUUUUCUGUUUUAGUUUCUUGCUGCUGCUCUUACUCAAGUUUUUAGAGGCAUAUCUUGUUUAUCUGUUUGUUUUCCUGCGGCUGUCAAUGUAUUUUUCUUAACAAUAUAAAGUUAAUUUUGUUAUAUCAUGAAUAUGAUUUGAUGUUUAUCAAGAAUCUGUAUUUUACUUGAAUGCUACAUGAAUUAUAUUGUUUGAAGUUGUUUGGUAGAGAGUUAUGUCUACACUUAUAAGUUUAGUUAUCUACACUGUUUUAGGCUACUUUUAGCUAUAUUAAAUUUAGUGUUAAAGUGUUCUGAAAAUUACAAAACCAAUUUAAAGCUUUUUAUAUUUAUAAAAAUCUCUAUGUUCUUAUACAGCAGUAUCACAUAAAUCACUUUCUAAAAAAUUCUAUUAGAAUAGUAACACGAAGUUGGUUAUCAUUGUUCAGUUAACCAAAAAAUAUAAUAAUUGUUAAGAAUAGAAUUCUAAUUAGAGUGAAUGUCUAUCUUGUAGAGAGUUUUACUUUGAGGCUAGGUUAUUUUUCCUCCUAUAAAUAGAGGGGUCUUAUCCCAUUGUAAACCACCCCACAAUUCAAUAAGAACUUCUCUCUCUUUCUCUGCAAUAUUUCUCUUGUUCUUUUAUUGUUUUAUAACACGUUAUCAGCAUGAGAUUCUACCGUCUCAAGAAGUUCUUUUGAGAAGAGUAAGAUUUUAUUCGACAUCGAGCGAGUUCGACGAUUCUGUUCGACUUUGAUUGUUGUUUUCUCUGAAAUUUGGAUUUGGAGCUUUGUAGCUAUUUAUUUCUCAUACAUUAAAGGAAAGCGCAUCCAGAUGCGAUUUGUCAUCCUUCUCUCCUAUUUUAAUGACCUUACGUAUUUGUGAAUUUUUUUUUUAUUUUGGACUGAUCAUAUGAGCCGAUGUUAUUUCACUUUAACAUGAUUUUGGUAAUUGUUGAACUGAUUGGGGGUGAUUUCAUGAGGAAAUUGUUAAAGUUUUAAGCUUUUUCAAUAUUGGAAUUUUUUUUUUUUUUG